rnacentral:rRNA from 1 species
GAUCCUGGCUCAGGAUGAACGCUGGCGGCGUGCUUAACACAUGCAAGUCGAGCGAAGCACUUUACUUGGAUUUCUUCGGAAUGACGAGUAUUGUGACUGAGCGGCGACGGGUGAAGGUAACGCGUGGGUAACCUGCCUCAUACAGGGGGAUAACAGUUAGAAAUGACUGCUAAUACCGCAUAAGACCACAGCACCGCAUGGUGCAGGGGUAAAAACUCUGGUGGUAUGAGAUGGACCCG